rnacentral:rRNA from 1 species
CGGUCCAGCAGCCGCGGUAAUACGGAGGAUGCGAGCGUUAUCCGGAUUUAUGGGUUUAAAGGGAGCGUAGGCGGGAGAUUAAGUCAGCUGUGAAAUUCGGGGGCUCAACCUUGGAAUUGCAGUUGAAACUGGUUUUCUUGAGUGCAGGAGAGGAAGGUAGAAUUCCCGGUGUAGCGGUGAAAUGCGUAGAGAUCGGGAGGAAUACCAGUGGCGAAGGCGGCCUUCUGGACUGACACUGACACUGAGGUGCGAAAGCGUGGGUAGCAAACAGGAUUAGAUACCCUGGUAGUCCACGCCGUAAACGAUGUCGACCAGCCGUUGGGUGCCUAGCGCACUUUGUGGCGAAGUUAACGCGAUAAGUCGACCGCCUGGGGAGUACGGCCGCAAGGUUAAAACUCAAAUGAAUUGACGGGGGCCCGCACAAGCGGUGGAGCAUGUG